GAUGAACGCUAGCUACAGGCUUAACACAUGCAAGUCGAGGGACCGGCGCACGCGUGAGUAACACGUAUCCAACCUUCACUUUACUCGGGGAUAGCCUUUCGAAAGAAAGAUUAAUACCCGAUGUAAAGGAUGGUGAUGCGUUCCAUUAGGUUGUUGGUGAGGUAACGGCUAACCAAGCAUUCGAUGGAGAGGGGUUAUGAGAGGAAGCGCCACUGCAAUGGAACUGCGACCCGGUCCCCACCCCUACGGGAGGCUGCAGUGACGAAGAUUGGUGACGGGGCGCUAGCCUGACCCAGCCAAGUAGCUUGAAGGAGUAUGGCUUCUGGGUCGUAAACUUUUUGUAUAUAAGAAUAGGUAUUAAAUGAAUAAGGAUCGGCUAACUCCGUGCCAGCCGCCGCGGUAAUAC
rnacentral:rRNA from 1 species